rnacentral:rRNA from 1 species
AUACGUAGGGUGCGAGCGUUGUCCGGAAUUACUGGGCGUAAAGGGCUCGUAGGUGGUUUGUCGCGUCGUCUGUGAAAUUCCGGGGCUUAACUCCGGGCGUGCAGGCGAUACGGGCAUACCUUGAUGACUGUAGGGGAGACUGGAAUUCCUGGUGUAGCGGUAAAAGGGGCAGAUAGCAGGAGGAAAACCGGUGGCGAAGGCGGGUCUCUGGGCAGUAACUGACGCUGAGGAGCGAAAGCAUGGGUAGCGAACAGGAUUAGAUACCCUGGUAGUCCAUGCCGUAAACGGUGGGCGCUAGGUGUAGGGGUCUUCCACGACUUCUGUGCCGUAGCUAACGCAUUAAGCGCCCCGCCUGGGGAGUACGGCCGCAAGGCUAAAACUCAAAUGAAUUGACGGGG